UCGUAAGUUACUCGGAUUCGACUCGAUUAAAAUUCAAAUUCGAUUCGAUAAUUGUCGAGUCGAGCUCGAGCUCGAGUAGCUCGACUUAUCGAACGAGUCAAAUUCGAGUAUAUUAAUACCCGACUCGAAUAGCUCACGAGCCUAAUCGAGCUUUUCUAUUAUAUAUUUAUUUUUAUUAUUUUAUUUAUAAAAUUACUUUUUUACCCUUAACUUAAAAAACCCUAAAAUUUUAUUUUCUUUCUUUCCUUCUUUUCUUUCAGUCUUUCUCCACGUCUCUCUCACUCACUAGAAGACCCUUGCGGCGCCUUUUCUUCUCGCGUCCCACUCCAUUGUCUUUCAAGCUAGCUUAGACCAAAACCAACUCAAAUCCAAGACAAAUCAAAGUUGGAGCAAGCUGCUGCGUGCUUCCCUUUUACACAGUAAGUGCUUUUCUGCGUGUUGCCAUUCUUAUGUUUGAUUUGUCCUAUAGUUAUAGUUUUACAGAGUUAUCUUGUGCUGCCUUUUUGUUUAUCAAAAUAUUCUAUUAGAGCCUUUCCAAAUAUCUUCAUGAAAAUUUGGGACUUCAUAUAUGAGAUUUCCACUAGGGCAGGGCUAUGAGAGAGAAGGGACCUUCCCGGCGUUGAUGGGACCAGUACUGGUGGGUUCAUCAGGUACCGCUUCAUCAUAUCGAAUGCUCUCUAUAAAAAAGCCCUUUCUCCUCUCUCUAAAAGGUAAGCUCGUUCCACCCCUUCGACGAAUUCUUUCGCAGCAGCUUGAACGGAACCCGGUCCCUCAACGUGAACGAGAGAAAAACAAACCCCAUUACUCGAUCAGGGAAUCUAAGCCACUGCUCUAUUCCCGACUCGAAAUCCAUAAAAGACUUUAAAAGGGAACUGCUCUCUUUAUCUCAGCUGCUUUCCCUACUACGGUAACUGAUAAAAGUAUGGGGGACUUUUUUUCUUAAUCUUAAAAAAAGUAUGGGAUAUUUUUCCAUGACAUACUUUUUGAGGGCCAUUUUUUUAUUAAAUGUUUUUAUGUUAAGCUUACAAUUCUCGCUAAAAAGUGGUUUAAAUAAGAAUGCCUAAAUUAAAUACCCUUAUGAAUAUUGUGGGGAUGCAGAUCGAGAAUAACAAUGAAAGGGGGCAAGGUGUUAUAGCUAUUUGUUAGUAUUGAUCUUCUCAAUUCUGAUUUGUUUGUCAAACAUUAUCACAUUAUACUUUUAUUUUUG
rnacentral:lncRNA from 1 species